GGGCGGAGUCCGCGAGAGUUUGCCCCGGAGCUCGGGGAAGUUUCCCGCCGAAGCUCCGCUCCCGUGAAAGCAGUCCCUGCCGGCACCCUCAGCUCCCCUAGCCGCUCGCCAGGUUGCUUCACGGAACGAGCACUUAAGAGGAAAAGAAAGGAUCGAAACUCUGUGGAAAACCAAACUAUGUGGUCUUCAGAAAUGAGAGAUGCAGCCAUCUGAAAUGGUCAUGAACCCCAAACAAGUCUUCCUCUCAGUGCUGAUAUUUGGAGUAGCAGGGCUACUCCUCUUCAUGUAUUUGCAAGUCUGGAUUGAAGAACAACACACAGCACUCCAGGCACAUGUGCUCCCCCGGUGUCUCUCUGCAGAUCCCCUCUCCUCCUACUUCACAGAAAAGAGAUGAACAUCAGAGAAAACUCUCGGAACUUCCUUCUAACAACAUACAGACGGAUCAACUUCCACCCCGUCUCCGGCUCUCCUCUCAGCUUCUUCCACCUCCCCCUCUCCUCCCAUUCAUGUUCUGUCUCCCGAAGGGUCUAUUUCCUCAGUGAUCUUGCCCAUUUCUUCUCUUCUCCUAUAUUUUCAUCUUUUCUCUGUCACUUCCUUGUAUCUGUAUCUAUGCAUGAGCUAUACAUGGUCCCCACAGACCUCACUGAUCUAAAAAUAACCUAACUCACAUAUCCAGUUCUUUCGACCAUAUUUUUCCUCCUCCCCCAAUUUAUCCCUUUCCUCCCCUUGCUCUUCUUAAAAGACUUUUGUGUAAUCACUGUCUCCACGUUGUUAUUCUCUACUCACCCUGCCCUUACAUCGUGCCGUCUGCCCCCGUCAACCACUAGUCCUGUUUCCCCCAGCAUCCUGCCUGCCCUCAAAUCUAGCAUGUCCUUCCCAGCCCCCAUCUUAGAUCGGUGCAGUUUUAGAUACUAGUGGCCCUUCAAUGCCACCUUCCCUUGGUGUCCCUGAUGGCAGACUCUUCCACUUCUCCUACCCUUCUCUGGCUGUAUUCUCAGUUCCUUCUUCAGACUACUGUGUUGCUUUUUCCAUGCCUUAGAUGUUGGUAUUCUUCCAAGUUCUACCUUUGGGUUUCUUUUCUUCUCAUCCUCAUGCUCUCCCAGUGUAAUGCCAUCUGUAGAGCCCUGAUGCCUCACACCAUCUGCUUCCAGGGCAUCUGUCCUUGACUGCCCCACAGAUCCCUUCAACUCAGGAAGUACAAUGCUAACCUCAUCGUUUUUCUCCAAAGCCUGUCCCGUUUAGCUGUUGAGGCAGUGGCCCCACCUAAAGACCUUGCUGCCAUCUGUGAUGCCUCCAUUUUCCUUUUCCCUCCUGCAUAAAUCUCUUCUUGGCCUCCAGUGGUUCUUGGGACAAACCUAGACUCCAUAAUUUGACUGUCAAGUCCCUUUAUUAUAAGACCUCUACUUAACUCUCCAGGCUCGUUUCUGUCCACACUGGUCAUGUUGCCCUUACCCUUCAGCUGUGCUAAAUUUCGCCUGGUUCCUUGAACCAGUCAUCGGGCCUCUCAACCCUAGGCCUCCGCAGGUGCCUCUAGAAGCAUUUCCUGUGUUGCCCCCCCCGCCGUCAUGUGCUCCCUGUACUCGCUAUGAAAGCACUGAUGAUGGUGAAUUUGGAGUGUUUGUUAAAAUCACGCCCAUCACCUUCAACCCACCAGGUCAUCAGAUUUGUGAGGGUGGCACUAAACAGGCCAUUUCACGGUCGUGUCCCCUGCACCUGGCACAUGCUUCCCUUGGCCGUGACAGGUAGGAUUUUGCCAUAUUUUUUGCAAAUACUGAGUUAGAAAUCUUUGGAAAAAAUACAGGUAUAUGCCUUCUUGCUUAGGUACAUAUAUGUCAGCCUCCCAACUUGCAUAACCAUGAAAAUGAUGUUUUCUCGCUCUGUGAGAAUCCGUCAUCUGACUGCAUGGAAAGAACAGUGUUCUCUAUCAUGGAGACAUACUUCUGUAAAACUUCUUUUUUAUCAUGCAGUAUUUUAGUGAUAAUCUAGUUAAAUUUUAGUGUAUUGUAAUUUUUUGGUUUUUCUCAACGAUAAAAAAAUUUACUUUAUAGGUUAGUUAUUAAAUUUCUAUCCUUUUACUCAGAACUCUUACUUCUCUUAUUUUCUCAAUCUUACCCUUCUGAAAUUUCUUUGUUUUCCAGAACAUUUUAAACUCACUUGGGGGGUACUUCCCUGGUGGUCCA